rnacentral:rRNA from 1 species
UACGUAGGGUGCGAGCGUUAAUCGGAAUUACUGGGCGUAAAGUGUGCGCAGGCGGCCGCGCAAGUCGAGUGUGAAAGCCCCGAGCUUAACUUGGGAAUUGCGCUCGAAACUACGUGGCUGGAGUGUGGCAGAGGAAGGUGGAAUUCCACGUGUAGCGGUGAAAUGCGUAGAGAUGUGGAGGAACACCGAUGGCGAAGGCAGCCUUCUGGGCCAACACUGGCGCUCAUGCACGAAAGCGUGGGGAGCAAACAGG